rnacentral:lncRNA from 1 species
UGACACUAACACCAUUGAAAUGCCUCCUCCUUUAUCUCCAAGUUUGCCAGCAGAAGCUACCACCUGCAGCACCUUCGUAUGCCAGUGUGAAGCAGCCACAUCUUCAUCCACCAUGUGAUGGCCAGUUUGUGCCUCUGUCAUUUUGGGAUAACACCCUGUGAUUUGCUGAUGCAACUGAGACUGUGCUGAAAGCUGGAUUAGUUUCCUGAAUGCAUUCCAGAUGAAAUGUCACUUUGGUAAUGGAUUUGAAGAAUGAAGAAGACUCAUCUGAAAGAACAAAUAUAAAUAUGUUUCAAGUUUCUGAUGAUGCAGCUGCUAGAAACGGAAGAGAGAACUUUCCAAUCCAUGAUAUGAAACAAAUUACGUCCUGUAUCUACUUGUUGGGUAUAUUUCAAAUUGAAUAUACAGCUGGAACUUCAACUGUGCUCCUCCUUCGUCUUCGUAUCAGUAUGUGUAUUUCUUAGCUAAUUACUGCAGACCUAAUCUCUGAUUGUUCUCUCUAUCUGGAGCAAGCCCUUCUCACAGGCCAAAGUCUCAUGCAAAAGUCAUCUUGGCAGCUACAGAUGCUUUCAGCACACAGCAUCCCUAGAAGAAGAGAUGACUGGAGAUGAGGGGGAAUAGCUGAAGAAAACACAAAUAGGUAAUUACAUUAUCUGUCAGAUACAAUCUAUUGCUGUGGACUGAAUAGCUGUGAAGUAAGACAGCUUUUCCCAAGAACUGUGUCAAAAUUGCUGCUCUCAUUGCUCCUCCAGAUCUAUAUUUAGUGGUCCUUUUGCAUUCCGAAGGUCUCAGUAAGUACUGAGACACUCUCCCUGCACAGGCAGCGGACUUCAGAAGGACAGAGGGUGGGAUUUUUCUCACCUCUUACACUCACUGUGCGAUUCUGCUGUGUCUUUGGAAGUGUAGAAAGAACCAGGAUGAAACUGCAGCUGUGCUGAAGCAGAAGGCAGUUCUCUGUAAACUCAGAACUUCAA